rnacentral:lncRNA from 1 species
AAAGGAAUGAGGAAGGAAGGAAGGAAGGAAGGAAGGAAGGAAGGAAGGAUAGGAAGGAAGGAAGGAAGGAAAGGGAGGAAGGAAAGGAAAGGCAGGAAGGAAGGAAGGAAUGGAAGGAAGGNNNNNNNNNNNNNNNNNNNNNNNNNAAGGAAGGAAGGAAGGAAGGAAGGAAGGAAGGAAGGAAGGAAGGAAGGAAGGAAGGAAGGAAGGAAUACAGUUAUGAAAUUUUAAAAAAGAUAUGAAAGCAACAGUGAACUACUCAGACUAAAAUAAGAGAAUAAAUGCUUAACGGUGAAUGAAGAUGAGAUCGAAGCAUUUGCUUCCAAGACUUUUCCUUUUCUGGCUUUCUGGCACUGUUGCUCAUAUUCUCACACAUCUGUGAUUCCCCCAUCUGUUCAAGUUCCUGAAGGUCCUGCGUGGAUAAAUAAAAGGGAAGGGGAAAUGGAAAACACCACUACGGAACGAAUGGAAAAACACUUAGGAAAACAUUUUGCCAUUCCUCAAAAGAAUGGACUAUUUAACCGGAGCCUUAUGGUUAACGACUGGAAGAGGUAAGGAGAUCGCAGAAGCAAAGACACAGGAGCGAUUCCUGUUUGUGCCGCUGGUGGGGAAAUGUUGGCCAACGGAGGCGGCGAAGCUCCUUCUGCCCGCAGCGCUUUCAGGCGCAGGCGCCCAGAGAGCCGUGCGAGCUGCUCGGGAAGGGCGGCGGGGCACGGAGCCGGGCGCUCGGGGGCUUUGGGCCGAGCUGCUGGCAAAGGCUUUGGGCUUUUGGGUGCCGAGCGUCGGGGUCCGGCGAAAAGGUGCCGAGCGAUGGGGCCGCUGGGAAAGGCCGGCUGUGGCGGAGAGGGACGCGCGCGCGGAGCCGGAGCGGCGGCGGCGGCGGCGAGAGGCAAGUGCUGCUGUGGCUGGUGUGCGUUUGCGUGUGGGAAGAAGCGGGCCGAACGCUGGCGCUAUUCCUGGCGGAGGAAAUGGCGAGGGAGUCGUUGGUGGGCAAACGUGGCCCAGGACCUGGGGCUUUCUCCGAGCCAGCUGGCGGCUCGCAAGGCGCGCGUGGUGUCCGAGGGGAGCGAGCAGCUAUUCCGCUGGAUCCGCACACAGCGGCCUCGACGGGUGACGGAGAAC